rnacentral:pre_miRNA from 1 species
AAAAGCGGUUUCGAGUUGAAGGCUUUUAAUGGGUGAGGAUCGCCGAUUGCCCUUUUUAAUCUGUGUUAGCUUUUAAUUCUUAAGAUUGAGAUA